rnacentral:rRNA from 1 species
AAUGGGCGCAAGCCUGAUGCAGCAACGCCGCGUGAGUGAAGAAGGCCUUCGGGUCGUAAAGCUCUGUCCUAGGGGAAGAAGAAAGUGACGGUACCCUGGGAGGAAGCCCCGGCUAACUACGUGCCAGCAGCCGCGGUAAUACGUAGGGGGCAAGCGUUAUCCGGAAUCACUGGGCGUAAAGGGUGNGUAGGCGGCUGANCAAGCCAGGGGUGAAAGGCUGNGGCUCAACCAUGGUAAGCCUUGGGAACUGGUCAGCUUGAGUGCAGGAGAGGAAAGCGGAAUUCCUGGUGUAGCGGUGAAAUGCGUAGAUAUUAGGAGGAACACCCGUGGCGAAGGCGGCUUUCUGGACUGUAACUGACGCUGAGGCACGAAAGCGUGGGUAGCGAA